GUUGCUCCCUGGUAGGCGCGGCUUCACACAAACACAGGUUACUGCUCCGGCCCGUCGAAAGACGCUCAGGGGCGCACAGCAGGCUCGGCUUAAGGGCUUUGCCAAGGUAACUACGGUUCAACCGUUACGUUGUGUGAAAGCUUAAGAUCAACCGGAGGGGGAGCGUU
rfam:Roseiflexus sp. RS-1, complete genome.